rnacentral:misc_RNA from 1 species
GCGCUGCCAAAGAUCUCAAUUACAAGAAUCUUCACGAAAAGGGAGGAGUUCUGGGCAUCUGAUAAUGCACAGCUGCUUCCAAUGAUUCCCACACACAGCCCGCAGACAAGGUUUGCAAAGCCAACUAUGAUUCCAGAUGCAAAAAUUGCAUAUCCUGCUCUUAGAGACUCAGGUGCAUAUAUCUGAGAUGCUGACACGCUCUCUAACUUGGUUUGUAAGAUAAUGG